UGGCUCAGGAGGAACCCGCGGGGGGGUUGCUUAACACAUGCAAGUCGAACGAUGAACCACUUCGGUGGGGAUUAGUGGCGAACGGGUGAGUAACACGUGGGCAAUCUGCCCUUCACUCUGGGACAAGCCCUGGAAACGGGGUCUAAUACCGGAUAAUACUUCCACUCGCAUGGGUGGGGGUUAAAAGCUCCGGCGGUGAAGGAUGAGCCCGCGGCCUAUCAGCUUGUUGGUGAGGUAAUGGCUCACCAAGGCGACGACGGGUAGCCGGCCUGAGAGGGCGACCGGCCACACUGGGACUGAGACACGGCCCAGACUCCUACGGGAGGCAGCAGUGGGGAAUAUUGCACAAUGGGCGAAAGCCUGAUGCAGCGACGCCGCGUGAGGGAUGACGGCCUUCGGGUUGUAAACCUCUUUCAGCAG
rnacentral:rRNA from 1 species